AGAAGUCGUAACAAGGUUCCGUAGGUGAACCUGCGGAAGGAUCAUUG
rnacentral:rRNA from 1 species